rnacentral:rRNA from 1 species
GACGAACGCUGGCGGCGUGCCUAAUACAUGCAAGUAGGACGCAGUUGCGAACGGGGGAGUAACGCGUAGGUACCUACCUAUUAGAUGGGGCUAACUAUUGGAAACGAUAGCUAAUACCGCAUACUAGUAGAUUGACCUGCGUUGUCUUAGCUAGUAGGUAGGGUAAUGGCCUACCUAGGCACCGUUACAUAGCCGACAUGGGAGGGUGAUCGGCCAAACUGGGACUGAGACACGGCCCAGACUCCUACGGGAGGAAGCAGUAGGGAAUCUUCGGCAAUGGGGGGAACCCUGACCGAGCAACGCCGCGUGAGUGAAGAAGGUUUUCGGAUCGUAAAGCUCUGUUGUGAAGGAAGCGGUACUUAACCAGAAAGGGACGGCUAAAUACGUGCCAGCAGCCGCGGUAAUUC